rnacentral:lncRNA from 1 species
CGGCAACACUGUCCCUCAGCCCCUCUCGGCCCAGGGUCCUCCCCCCCCAACCUCUGCCAUCGGCUUUCACUACCACCCACAUACCCAGAUAGGGGCAAGGCUGGAUCCCACCAGCGGUGUCCUUGGGACACGGCUCAGCAAGUUAUUAUUCUAUGCAAGCACGAUGCCCUCCCAGGACUGCACUACAGGACCAGGCAUUUGCUUGGAUAAAACAGUUUGGCAACACUUGCUAUUGAGGAAAUUUGUGGUCUGUGUGUUGGGGAAUGACUCAGUGGAGCCAGGAGCUGUCUGAAAGCCCCCGCUGAGGAUUUGCUCUGAGCACAGCCUGCGGGGCUGGUGGGUGGGCAAACAAUG